rnacentral:rRNA from 1 species
AUGUUCCGUGGAGUUUCAGGUCAUUCCGAAAAUAUUUGUUUUCUGCACAUAAAACAACACCAUGGAAUUCUGCUGAAAACGGCGCCAGUCCGGGUUAAUUCCAUUCAAAUCAUACAAGUUAGAGUCCAAAACAAGGGCAAAAGUGUUUGGAAAAGUAGAUACGACGGAGACGUAUCAACUCCCCCAAGCUUAAACCCUUGCUUGUCCUCAAGCAAUUCAGUUGACAAACUGAAAGAAAGAAAAACUUUUACAAACUCUGUUUGCUCUUGUUGUCGUAACUAUGUCAAGCCAGCAUUCAUGUUUUCAGCAUAG